GAUGAACGCUGGCGGCGUGCCUAAUACAUGCAAGUCGAGCGAACAGACGAGGAGCUUGCUCCUCUGACGUUAGCGGCGGACGGGUGAGUAACACGUGGAUAACCUACCUAUAAGACUGGGAUAACUUCGGGAAACCGGAGCUAAUACCGGAUAAUAUAUUGAACCGCAUGGUUCAAUAGUGAAAGACGGUUUUGCUGUCACUUAUAGAUGGAUCCGCGCCGCAUUAGCUAGUUGGUAAGGUAACGGCUUACCAAGGCGACGAUGCGUAGCCGACCUGAGAGGGUGAUCGGCCACACUGGAAGUGAGACACGGUCCAGACUCCUACGGGAGGCAGCAGUAGGGAAUCUUCCGCAAUGGGCGAAAGCUUGACGGAGCAACGCCGCGUGAGUGAUGAAGGGCUUCGGAUCGUAAAACGCUGUUAUUAGGGAAGAACAAAUGUGUAAGUAACUAUGCACGUCUUGACGGUACCGAAUCAGAAAGCCACGGCUAACUACGU
rnacentral:rRNA from 1 species